rnacentral:tRNA from 1 species
UCCCCAAUAGCUCAGCUGGUUAGAGCGACGGACUGUUAAUCCGUAGGUCGUUGGUUCGAGUCCAACUUGGGGAGCCA